rnacentral:rRNA from 1 species
UACGAAGGGGACUAGCGUUGUUCGGAAUCACUGGGCGUAAAGCGCACGUAGGCGGAUAUGUCAGUCAGGGGUGAAAUCCCGGGGCUCAACCUCGGAACUGCCCUUGAUACAACAUAUCUUGAGUCCGAUAGAGGUGGGUGGAAUUCCUAGUGUAGAGGUGAAAUUCGUAGAUAUUAGGAAGAACACCGGUGGCGAAGGCGGCCCACUGGAUCGGUACUGACGCUGAGGUGCGAAAGCGUGGGGAGCAAACAGG